UAGGGAAUCUUCCACAAUGGACGAAAGUCUGAUGGAGCAACGCCGCGUGAGUGAAGAAGGUUUUCGGAUCGUAAAGCUCUGUUGUUGGUGAAGAAGGAUAGAGGCAGUAACUGGUCUUUAUUUGACGGUAAUCAACCAGAAAGUCACGGCUAACUACGUGCCAGCAGCCGCNGUAAUACGUAGGUGGCAAGCGUUGUCCGGAUUUAUUGGGCGUAAAGCGAGCGCAGGCGGAAUGAUAAGUCUGAUGUGAAAGCCCACGGCUCAACCGUGGAACUGCAUCGGAAACUGUCAUUCUUGAGUGCAGAAGAGGAGAGUGGAACUCCAUGUGUAGCGGUGGAAUGCGUAGAUAUAUGGAAGAACACCAGUGGCGAAGGCGGCUCUCUGGUCUGCAACUGGCGCUGAGGCUCGAAAGCAUGGGUAGCGAACAGGAUUAGAUACCCUGGUAGUCCAUGCCGUAAACGAUGAGCGCUAGGUGUUGGGGACUUUCCGGUCCUCAGUGCCGCAGCAAACGCAUUAAGCGCUCCGCCUGGGGAGUACGACCGCAAGGUUGAAACUCU
rnacentral:rRNA from 1 species